rnacentral:rRNA from 1 species
CCUACGGGAGGCAGCAGUAGGGAAUAUUGCUCAAUGGGGGAAACCCUGAAGCAGCAACGCCGCGUGGAGGAUGAAGGUUUUAGGAUUGUAAACUCCUUUUGUGAGAGAAGAUAAUGACGGUAUCUCACGAAUAAGCACCGGCUAACUCCGUGCCAGCAGCCGCGGUAAUACGGAGGGUGCAAGCGUUACUCGGAAUCACUGGGCGUAAAGAGUGCGCAGGCGGGCUUGUAAGUCAGAUGUGAAAUCCUGUAGCUUAACUACAGAACUGCAUUUGAAACUAUGAGUCUAGAGUGUGGGAGAGGUAGGUGGAAUUCUUGGUGUAGGGGUAAAAUCCGUAGAUAUCUGGAGGAACAUCAGUGGCGAAGGCGACUAUCUGGCACAUAACUGACGCUGAGGAGCGAAAGCGUGGGUAGCAAACAGGAUUAGAUACCCGGGUAGUC